rnacentral:SRP_RNA from 1 species
GCCAGGUGUGGUGGCUCACGCCUGUAAUCCCAGCACUCUGGGAGGCUGAGGUGGGUGGAUUACCUGAGGUCAGGAGUUCAAGACCAGCCUGGCCAACAUGGUGAAACCCCGUCUCUA